ensembl:lncRNA
CAUGACUACUGGAAAAACCAUAGCCUUGACUAGACGGACCUUUGUUGACAAAGUAAUAUCUCUGCUUUUUAAUAUGCUAUCUAGGUUAGUCAUAACUUUCCUUCCAAGGAGUAAGUGUCUUUUAAUUUCAUGGCUGCAAUCGCCAUCUGCAGUAAUUUUGGAGCCCCCAAAAAUAAAGUCUGUCACUGUUUCCACUGUUUCCCCAUCUAUUUCCCAUGAAGUGAUGGGACUUGAUGCCACGAUCUUGGUUUUCUGAAUGUUGAGUUUUAAGCCAACUUUUUCACUCUCCUCUUUCACCUUCAUCAAGAGGCUCUUUAGUUUUCACUUUCUGCCAUAAGGGUGAUGUCAUCUGCAUAUCUGAAGUUAUUGAUAAUCCUCCCAACAAUCUUUAUUCCAGCUUGUGCUUCUUCCAGCCCAGCAUUUCUCACGAUUUACUCUGCAUAUAAGUUAAAUAAGCUGGGUGACAAUAUACAGCCUUGACGUACUCCUUUUCCUAUUUGGAACCAGUCUGUUGUUCCAUGUCCAGUUCUAACUGUUGCUUCCUGACCUGCAUACAGGUUUCUCAAGAGGCAGGUCAGGUGGUCUGGUAUUCCCAUCUCUUUCAGAAUUUUCCACAGUUUAUUGUGAUCCACACAGUCAAAGGCUUUGGCAUAGUCAAGAAAGCAGAAAUAGAUGUUUUUCUGGAACUCUCUUGCUUUUUUCCAUGAUCUAAUUUGAUCUCUGGUUCCUCUGCCUUUUCUAAAACCAGCUUGAACAUCUGGGAGUUCAGAUUCACGUAUUGCUGAAGCCUGGCUUGGAGAAUUUUGAGCAUUACUUUACUAGUGUGUGAGAUGAGUGCAAUUGUGCAGUAGUUUGAGCAUUCUUUGGCAUUGCAAUGAAAACUGACCUUUUCCGGUUGUGUGGCCACUGCUGAGUUUUCCAAAUUUGCUGGCAUAUUGAGUGCAGCACUUUCACAGCAUCAUCUUUUAGGAUUUGAAAGAGCUCAGCUGAAUUCCAUCACCUCUACUAGCUUUGUUCGUAGUGAUGCUUUCUAAGGCACUUGACUUCACAUUCCAGGAUGUCUGGCUCUAGGUGAGUGAUCACACCAUUAUGAUUAUCUGGGUCGUGAAGAUCUUUUUUGUACAGUUCUUCCAUGUAUUCUUGCCACCUCUUCUUAAUAUCUUCUGCUUCUGUUAGGUCCAUACCAUUCCUGUCCUUGAUCGAGCCCAUCUUUGCAUGACAUGUUCCCUUGGUAUCUCUAAUUUUCUUGAAGAGAUCUCUAGUCUUUCUCAGUCUAUUGUUUUCCUUUGUUUCUUUGCAUUGAUCGCUGAGGAAGGCUUUCUUAUCUCUCUUUGCUAUUCUAUAUUGUCAUACCUAAUAUUUAAUAAAGACCUUCCUCAAUGUAGAUUGCUUUAUAAAGUAACUGUUACUAUCUUUGUGAGUGGAGUGGAUCAGAAUCUUAUACCCAAAGGUGAUCCAUAGCCAUUCAGGAACACCCUCAACUCAACAUUUGAAAAACAGAUUAACUUGUGGGUCUGUGUUUUAUUCUUUCAGUUAAUCUACCAAUCCUCUGGUCCCUCUACACCACAAGGAGCAACGGAAUCCCUACCCUGGGGGAGUCUUAAUUAAGAGUGGAUCAUGGAGAGCUCGCGUUGAUGUCAACAAAGCAAGAUUUGUGCUCCGGGCAAUCGGGAGAGAAUCAGUUUCCAGCCAUGCUUGCUGCUGCUGCUAAGUCACUUCAGUCGUGUCCGACUCUCUGCGGCUCCAUAGACGGCAGCCCACCAGGCUCCACCGUCCCUGGGAUUCUCCAGGCAAGAACACUGAAGUGGGUUGCCAUUUCCCUCUCCAAUGCAUGAAGGUGAAAAGUGAAA